GGCUCCCGUAGGAGUUCGGUCGAAGUCUACCUGCAAUUAAAGUCAAGAGCGAAGUUCAGCUCCCUUAGGAGUCCAGACAAAGCUUACCAGCAGUCGAGGUUGAGGAUGAAGCCCGGCUCCCGUGGGAGUCUGGGCAAAGCCUUCCAGCCGUUGAGGUUGGGGACGAAGUCCGGCUCCCGUAGGAGUCCGGGCGAAGCCUUCCAGCUGUUGAGGUUGGAGACGAAGUCCGGCUCCCGUAGGAGUCCGGACGGAGUCUAUCUGCAAUCAAAGUCAGGGAUGAAGUCCGGCUCCCUUAGGAGUCCGGACGAAAUUUACCAGUAGUCAAANNNNNNNNNNNNNNNNNNNNCAGUCGAGGUUGAGGAUGAAGCCCGGCGUCCCGUGGGAGUCUGGGCAAAGCCUUCCAGCCGUUGAGGUUGGGACGAAGUCCGGCUCCCGUAGGAGUCCGGGCGAAGCCUUCCAGCUGUUGAGGUUGGAGACGAAGUCCGGCUCCCGUAGGAGUCC
rnacentral:lncRNA from 1 species